CCUACGGGAGGCAGCAGUGAGGAAUAUUGGUCAAUGGGCGGAAGCCUGAACCAGCCAAGUCGCGUGAGGGACUAAGGCCCUACGGGUCGUAAACCUCUUUUGCCGGGGAUCAGUGCCCAGCUCGCGAGCCGGGAGGGAGCGUACCCGGAGAAAAAGCAUCGGCUAACUCCGUGCCAGCAGCCGCGGUAAUAAGGAGGAUGCGCGCGUUAUCGGGAUUUAUGGGGUUAAAGGGGUGCGUAGGCGGGCCUUCAGGCCGGCGGUAAAGGUGCGGGGCCCAACCCAGCCGAGCCGACGGAACCGGGGGCCUUGAGUACCGGAGAAGGACGCGGAAUGCGUGGUGUAGCGGUGAAAUGCGUAGAUAUCGAGCAGAACCCCGGUUGCGAAGGCAGGGUACCGGCCGGUCACUGACGCUGAGGCACGAAGGCGCGGGGAUCGAACAGGAUUAGAUACCCGUGUAGUC
rnacentral:rRNA from 1 species